rnacentral:rRNA from 1 species
UACGUAGGGUGCGAGCGUUGUCCGGAUUUAUUGGGCGUAAAGAGCUCGUAGGCGGUUUGUCGCGUCGGCCGUGAAAUCUCCACGCUUAACGUGGAGCGUGCGGUCGAUACGGGCAGACUUGAGUUCGGUAGGGGAGACUGGAAUUCCUGGUGUAGCGGUGAAAUGCGCAGAUAUCAGGAGGAACACCGAUGGCGAAGGCAGGUCUCUGGGCCACUACUGACGCUGAGAAGCGAAAGCAUGGGGAGCGAACAGG